UGGACAUUGGAGCCAAUCCCUCUGCUGAGGGUGGUGGUGACGAUGAGGGUGUCGAUGACCAGGCCGUGAAGGUGGUUGACAUUGUUGACACCUUCCGUCUUCAGGUUGCUUGCUCUUUUUGAUGCUCUUGACCUAUCUACAGCGUAUGCACUUGAUGAUAGUGCUAAGCCGUCGUGACCUUUUGCAGGAGCAACCUGCUUUUGACAAGAAGCAGUUUAUCUCUCACAUGAAGCGCUACAUCAAGAACCUCACUGCCAAGCUUGAAGGGGAUGACCUAGAUGUUUUCAAGAAGAAUGUUGAGUCUGCCACGAAGUAUCUUCUUAGCAAGCUCAAGGACCUUCAGUUGUAAGUUCUCUCUUUGCCUUGCUCAAAAGUGCAGGCACUGUUUAUCAUUGAUCUGUCCAGACACGUUAGUACUUUAUUCUUACUUUGGUAUUUUAGAUGCUGGUAAUUUAUUCUAUUGAACUUAAAUCAGUGACGGGAUUUUUUUAUAUUUUGGGGAAGGUAGUAAUAAUCUAUCUAUUCAACUUGCGCAAGUUCUAAAACUGGUGUUUCAGCUUUGUUGGCGAGAGCAUGCAUGAUGAUGGCGGCGUGGUGUUCGCGUACUACAAGGAGGGAGCUGCUGAUCCAACUUUCCUGUACUUUGCACAUGGGCUGAAAGAGGUCAAGUGCUAAUGGCACAGUAUGCUAAAAUCUUUGGGGUCGUCAGUAUUUUUGCUCUGCUCUAUGUAUGGUUGUCAGUCGACUCUCCAAUGUUGGUGUCAGUAACUAUCAGAUGUUAAGUGUCUCGAAAACUUUCUGAUAAUUGUGGUAUUUGCUUUGUAAUGGUAAUCGUGAAAUUGGUGUGGUUGUGUUUUGGUCAAUGCCUCGGCUUUUACUCAAUAGUUGAAACAAGAGAUUUUGCCCUGUGAUUCUAUCAGAUUAUCUUGUGUCUUUUGUAACACAGCAAAUGAGCAAAGCAAAAUGAUCAAUCAUCGUUUGAUAAGAAUCAUUUGAAAUCAAGAAC
rnacentral:lncRNA from 1 species